rnacentral:rRNA from 1 species
AUUGAACGCUGGCGGCAGGCCUAACACAUGCAAGUCGAACGAGUGGCGGACGGGUGAGUAAUGUCUGGGAAACUGCCUGAGGGAGGGGGAUAACUACUGGAAACGGUAGCUAAUACCGCAUACCAUCGGAGGUGCCCAGAUGGGUUUAGCUGGUGGGUGGGGUAACGGCUCACCAAGGCGACGAUCCCUAGCUGGUCUGAGAGGAUGACCAGCCACCCUGGAACUUAGACACGGUCCAGACUCCUACGGGAGGCAGCAGUGGGGAAUAUUGCACAAUGGGCGCAAGCCUGAUGCAGCCAUGCCGCGUGUAUGAAGAAGGCCUUCGGGUUGUAAAGUACUUUCAGCGGGGAGGCGUUACUCGCAGAAGAAGCACCGGCUAACUCCGUGCCAGCAGCCGCGGUAAUUC